UUCGUAGGUGGCCAACUAAGUCGGACGUGAAAUCCCUCAGCUUAACUGGGGAACUGCGUCUGAUACUGGUUGGCUUGAGUGCAGGAGAGGAACGCGGAAUUCCAGGUGUAGCGGUGAAAUGCGUAGAUAUCUGGAGGAACACCGGUGGCGAAGGCGGCGUUCUGGACUGCAACUGACACUGAGGAACGAAAGCCAGGGAGCAAACG
rnacentral:rRNA from 1 species